rnacentral:rRNA from 1 species
GACGUAGGGCGCGAGCGUUGUCCGGAUUCAUUGGGCGUAAAGAGCUCGUAGGCGGCUUGUCGCGUCGAAUGUGAAAUCUCAGGGCUCAACUCUGACAUUGCAUUCGAUACGGGCAGGCUAGAGUUCGGUAGGGGAGACUGGAAUUCCUGGUGUAGCGGUGAAAUGCGCAGAUAUCAGGAGGAACACCGGUGGCGAAAGCGGGUCUCUGGGCCGAUACUGACGCUGAGGAGCGAAAGCGUGGGGAGCGAACAGG